rnacentral:rRNA from 1 species
UACGGAGGGGGCUAGCGUUGUUCGGAAUUACUGGGCGUAAAGCGCGCGUAGGCGGACCUGCAAGUCGGGGGUGAAAGCCCGAGGCUCAACCUCGGAACUGCCUUCGAUACUGCGGGUCUCGAGUCCGGAAGAGGCGAGUGGAAUUCCUGGUGUAGCGGUGAAAUGCGCAGAUAUCGGGAGGAACACCGGUGGCGAAGGCGGUUCUCUGGGCCUUACCUGACGCUGAGGAGCGAAAGCGUGGGGAGCGAACAGG